rnacentral:rRNA from 1 species
GGAAGGAUCAUUAUUGUAAUAACGGAGGUGCUGGGUCUGUCGCUGACUUUUUUUUGUUGUGCACGCCCCAGUGCUCUCUCACAUCCAUCUCACCCCUUUGUGCAUCACCGCGUGGGCCCCCCUUUGUGGGUGGGUUUGCGUCUUUACAUUAAACGAAUGUGUAGAAUGUCUUACUUUUUUGCGAUAACACGCAAUCAAUACAACUUUCAACAACGGAUCUCUUGGCUCUCGCAUCGAUGAAGAACGCAGCGAAAUGCGAUACGUAAUGUGAAUUGCAGAAUUCAGUGAAUCAUCGAAUCUUUGAACGCACCUUGCGCCCCUUGGUAUUCCGAGGGGCACACCCGUUUGAGUGUCGUGAACAUCCUCAACCUUCUUGGUUUCUCGACCGAGAAGGCUUGGACUUUGGAGGUUCUCUUUGCUGGUCUCCCUUGAAGCCAGCUCCUCCUAAAUGGAUUAGUAGGGUCUACUUUGCCGAUCCUCGACGUGAUAAGAUGUUUCUACGUCUUGGAUUUCGCACUGUUGCUUUGGAUCCCGCUUCUAACCGUCUUGUAUCCAGGACACUGUAAACCUUGACCUCAAAUCGGGUGAGACUACCCGCUGAACUUAAGCAUAUCAAUAAGCGGAGGAAAAGAAACUAACAAGGAUUCCCCUAGUAACUGCGAGUGAAGCGGGAAAAGCUCAAAUUUAAAAUCUGGUGGCCCUUCGGUCACCCGAGUUGUAAUUUAGAGAAGCGUCUUCCGCGCUGGACCGUGCAUAAGUCUCCUGGAAUGGAGCGUCACAGAGGGUGAGAAUCCCGUCUUUGGCAUGGACCCCAGGGCUUCUGCGAUGCGCUCUCGAAGAGUCGAGUUGUUUGGGAAUGCAGCUCAAAAUGGGUGGUGAACUCCAUCUAAAGCUAAAUAUUGGCGAGAGACCGAUAGCGAACAAGUACCGUGAGGGAAAGAUGAAAAGCACUUUGGAAAGAGAGUGAAACAGUACGUGAAAUUGUUGAAAGGGAAACGCUUGAAGUCAGUCGCGUCGAC